rnacentral:piRNA from 1 species
UAAAAAAAUAAAACCUGAGUUGGCAGGUGGA